rnacentral:lncRNA from 1 species
AACUACUGUCAGUCUUUGUAAAUGAAAGAUUUAAAAGAAAAACGGAGGUUAAAAAAGAGUUGGUAAAUGGCAGCGGAGCACACAGAGGGAAACUCUGAGCCAGAGUCCAUGCCGUCACCUGGGGAAAGGGACAGCCCCCCAGCACAUAGUUGUAUAUUCUAGCUGUGAGUGCCUCUGGCUGUGCUAUGUGGGACGCCGCCUCAGCAUGGCCUGAUGAGUGGUACCAUGUCCAUGCCCAGGAUCUGAACCAGUGAAACCCGGUCCACCGAAGCGGAGCCCACCAAAACGGAGUGCACAAACUUAACCACUGGACCAUGGGGCCGGCCCCUAGGUGUUAUCUUAAAAGGACGGGAGGGGCCUGGAUGCAGUGAAGAAGGCUCAUUUCUUCCAGAUGCUCACCUGCAAUGGAAAGCUACAUAUGCAGUGGCAUCGCUCCCAGACUACAAGUCUGCAUGUUCACGAGGAGAGGAUGAGAAAGCUAGGCAGGCACGAAGAGCCACUGGGGAACGUGUCUUGAAAACAAGCAUGGAUUAUUUAAAAAAAAAUUCAAGAAGGUGCCCAUGUGAAAGUUUAAAUUUUCCUCCCACCAGCCCCCUCCCUCCUUUUUGAGCAUGCCAGGAACUCGUGGUUAUAGAAGGCCAUUGUGCAACCUCUUUUGCUGUGAGCACAGAGCAUGUAUAUUGCAUUCCCUCCUGUGGCAGGCCUGCUCCCAUGUUUGUUGUCUGGCUCCAGCCUCCCAUUAACAGAAUCCCUGGGGAAGGGCAGUUUCCUUACAUUAGGUAGAAAUGCUCUUGUUAAUGAUAAAUUGAUGAAAAGCU